rnacentral:tRNA from 1 species
UAGCUCAGUGGUCGAGCGUUGGCUUCGAUAGCCACAGGUCGGUGGUUCGAUUCCACC